UACGAAAGGUGCGAGCGUUAAUCGGAAUUACUGGGCGUAAAGCGCGCGUAGGUGGUUUGGUAAGUUGGGAGUGAAAGCCCCGGGCUCAACCUGGGAAUUGCUUUCAAAACUGCCAGGCUAGAGUGCGGUAGAGGGAGGUGGAAUUUCCGGUGUAGCGGUGAAAUGCGUAGAGAUCGGAAGGAACACCAGUGGCGAAGGCGGCCUCCUGGACUGACACUGACACUGAGGUGCGAAAGCGUGGGGAGCAAACAGG
rnacentral:rRNA from 1 species